rnacentral:ncRNA from 1 species
CGACGAAGCGGAAGCGAGAAUGUCGGCUUGAGUAACGAAAACAUUGGUGAGAAUCCAAUGCCCCGAAAACCCAAGGUUUCCUCCGCAAGGUUCGUCCACGGAGGGUGAGUCAGGGCCUAAGAUCAGGUCGAAAGGCGUAGUCGAUGGACAACAGGUCAAUAUUCCUGUACUACCCCUUGUUGGUACGGAGGGACGGAGGAGGCUAGGUUAGCCGAAAGAUGGUUAUAGGUUUAAGGACACAAGGUGACCCUGCUUUUUCAGGGUAAGAAGGGGGAGAGAAAAUGCCUCGA